rnacentral:rRNA from 1 species
UGGGGAAUUUUCCGCAAUGGGGGCAACCCUGAUGGAGCGACGCCGCGUGGAGGAUGAAGGUUUUCGGAUUGUAAACUCCUGUCAUGAGAGAACAAAGCCCGCAAGGGUCUGAUAGUAUCUCAAGAGGAAGGGACGGCUAACUCUGUGCCAGCAGCCGCGGUAAUACAGAGGUCCCAAGCGUUGUUCGGAUUCACUGGGCGUAAAGGGUGCGUAGGUGGCGGGGAAAGUUGCGUGUUAAAUCUCAAGGCUUAACCUUGAAACCGCUCGCAAUACUACUCUGCUAGAGGACUGUAGAGGAGAAUGGAAUUCACGGUGUAGCAGUGAAAUGCGUAGAUAUCGUGAGGAAGACCAGUGGCGGAGGCGAUUCUCUGGGCAGUUCCUGACACUGAGGCACGAAGGCCAGGGGAGCAAAAGGGAUUAGAUACCCCUGUAGU